rnacentral:rRNA from 1 species
CCGUGGGGCAGCUUACACAUGCAAGUCGAGCGGAGUGAUGGUGCUUGCACUAUCACUUAGCGGCGGACGGGUGAGUAAUGCUUAGGAAUCUGCCUAUUAGUGGGGGACAACAUUUCGAAAGGAAUGCUAAUACCGCAUACGUCCUACGGGAGAAAGCAGGGGAUCUUCGGACCUUGCGCUAAUAGAUGAGCCUAAGUCGGAUUAGCUAGUUGGUGGGGUAAAGGCCUACCAAGGCGACGAUCUGUAGCGGGUCUGAGAGGAUGAUCCGCCACACUGGGACUGAGACACGGCCCAAACUCCUACGGGAGGCAGCAGUGGGGAAUAUUGGACAAUGGGCGCAAGCCUGAUCCAGCCAUGCCGCGUGUGUGAAGAAGGCCUUAUGGUUGUAAAGCACUUUAAGCGAGGAGGAGGCUACUGAAGUUAAUACCUUCAGAUAGUGGACGUUACUCGCAGAAUAAGCACCGGCUAACUCUGUGCCAGCAGCCGCGGUAAUACAGAGGGUGCAAGCGUUAAUCGGAUUUACUGGGCGUAAAGCGCGCGUAGGCGGCUAAUUAAGUCAAAUGUGAAAUCCCCGAGCUUAACUUGGGAAUUGCAUUCGAUACUGGUUAGCUAGAGUGUGGGAGAGGAUGGUAGAAUUCCAGGUGUAGCGGUGAAAUGCGUAGAGAUCUGGAGGAAUACCGAUGGCGAAGGCAGCCAUCUGGCCUAACACUGACGCUGAGGUGCGAAAGCAUGGGGAGCAAACAGGAUUAGAUACCCUGGUAGUCCAUGCCGUAAACGAUGUCUACUAGCCGUUGGGGCCUUUGAGGCUUUAGUGGCGCAGCUAACGCGAUAAGUAGACCGCCUGGGGAGUACGGUCGCAAGACUAAAACUCAAAUGAAUUGACGGGGGCCCGCACAAGCGGUGGAGCAUGUGGUUUAAUUCGAUGCAACGCGAAGAACCUUACCUGGCCUUGACAUAGUAAGAACUUUCCAGAGAUGGAUUGGAUGCCUUCGGGAACUUACAUACAGGUGCUGCAUGGCCUGUCGUCAGCUCGUGUCGUGAGAUGUUGGCGUUAAGAUCCCGCAUGAGCGCAACCCAUUUUCCGUUAUCUUGUCAGCGAGUAUGUCCGGGAACUUUAAGGAUACUUGCCAGUGACAGACUGGAGGAAGGCGGGGACGACGUCAGUCAUCAUGGACCUUACGGCCAGUCUACACACGUGCUUACAAUGGUUCGUACUAGGGGUAGCCUACCUUACCGGAUAGAGAAAUGCCCC